rnacentral:rRNA from 1 species
UUAGAUACCCUAUUAUACUAAUAAAAACCUAAAUUACUAAUAGAUAUGUUCUUUAAACUUGAAGAAUUUGGCGGUGAUUUAGUCUUGUUAGAGGAACCUGUUUUUGAAUCGAUACACCACGUAGAAUCUUACUCAUUUUAAUAAGUUUGUAUACCGUCAUUAUCAGAUAAUUUUUAAAGAAUAAAUUAUUAAGGUUUCAGAAGUAAUAAGCAAGUUAAAUUAGAUCAAGGUGCAGCUAAUAAAUGAGUUAAAAUGGGUUACAAUAAAUUUUAUUUAUUAUGGAUUAAUCACAAGAAAUGGUGUUAAGAAGGUGGAUUUAAUUGUAAAGUGAGUUAAAUAAGCUUAUUAGAUAUUAGCUCUAAAUCAUGUACAUAUCGCCCG